UCCGUAGGUGAACCUGCGGAAGGAUCAUUAGUGAAUUCAUGGGAGUCCCUCUUAACCGGAGAAGGCCCAAUCCACUAUCUUUUUAAACCCUAGUGCAUUUGUCCCUUUUUACCAAACCCUUUUGCAUUCGAAAAGGUUGUCGUGUGAUUAAUACAUUUGAUAAAUGAAAGAAAAACUUUCAGCAAUGGAUCUCUUGGCUCUCGCAUCGAUGAAGAACGCAGCAAAGCGCGAAAUGUAAUGUGAAUUGCAGAAUUCAGUGAAUCAUCGAAUCUUUGAACGCACCUUGCGCUUUCGGGUUAUUCCUGGAAGCAUGUUCGUUUGAGUGUCGCGUACCUCUCAACCCCCUUCUUGGCAACAGGAAGCGUUUCCGGGUUGGAUCAUGACGGUCUUGUCUCUUUUCGUUAAGCAGACUCCGUUGAAAUACAACAAGCUUGACGUUGCCCGUCCAAAGCGAGCUUGACCCGUUGUCAUACGUUGUUUACAACAUUCUUCAAUGGGGAUCGCUUUAUUACAGUGACGGGUCGAUUUUAUCAGCUUACCACAAAUUGGUGUUUCCUUUGGGAAGCCCACUUUCUACAUUUGACCUCAAAUCGAGCAGGACUACCCCCUGAACUUAAGCAUAUCAAUAAGGGGAGGA
rnacentral:rRNA from 1 species